rnacentral:rRNA from 1 species
AUUGAACGCUGGCGGCAUGCCUUACACAUGCAAGUCGAACGGCAGCACGGGUGCUUGCACCUGGUGGCGAGUGGCGAACGGGUGAGUAAUGCAUCGGAACGUGCCCAGUCGUGGGGGAGUAACGCAGCGAAGUUAGUUGCUAAUACCGCAUACGUCCUGAGGGAGAAAGACAGGGGAGUCUUCGGACCGUUGUGCGAUUGGAGCGGCCGGAUGUCAGAUUAGCUAGUUGGUGAGGUAAGAGCUCACCAAGGCGACGAUCUGUAGCUGGUCUGAGAGGAUGAUCAGCCACACUGGAACUGAGACACGGUCCAGACUCCUACGGGAGGCAGCAGUGGGGGAAUUUUGGUCAAUGGACGCAAGUCUGAACCAGCCACGUCGCGUGAAGGAAGACGGCCCUACGGGUUGUAAACUUCUUUUGCAAGGGAAUAAAGUGGGCCACGUGUGGCCUUUUGCAAGUACCUUGCGAAUAAGGAUCGGCUAACUCCGUG